rnacentral:sRNA from 1 species
AGUGCAGCCCGGGGACGAGGAGCCGAGGCUCUCCGCUCUGUCCUGGGUGACUGCAUACUCUGCGCAUCCGGGGGUCGCGGGCUGCGAUGCCGGCCCCCAGCUGGGCACCCCGACCCGGUUCGCGCCGGCACCGGUAGCAGCUGAGAUCAAGCGUUUCCUGGAGGACACCACGGAUGAUGGAGAACUGAGCAAGUUCGUGAAGGAUUUCUCAGGAAAUGAGAGCUGCCACCCACCAGAGGCUAAGACCCGGGCAUCCAGGCCCCAAGUCCCGGAGCCAAGGCCCCAGGCCCCGGACCUCUAUGAUGAUGACCUGGAGUUCAGACCCCCCUCGUGGCCCCAGUCCUCUGACAACCAGCAGUACUUCUGUGCCCCAGCCCCUCUCAGCCCAUCUGCCAGGCCCCGCAGCCCAUGGGGCAAGCUUGAUCCCUAUGAUUCCUCUGAGGUAGAGCCUCCAGCCCUGCCUUUGCCUUUCAGUGGGCUGCUGCAGGAAGACCAGGGGGCAGGGAGCAGAGUGUGAGUGUGUGUGUG